GACGUAGGGUGCGAGCGUUGUCCGGAUUUAUUGGGCGUAAAGAGCUCGUAGGCGGCUUGUCGCGUCGACAGUGAAAACCCGCGGCUCAACCGUGUGGUCUGCAGUCGAUACGGGCAGGCUAGAGUUCGGUAGGGGAGACUGGAAUUCCUGGUGUAGCGGUGAAAUGCGUAGAUAUCUGGAGGAACACCGGUGGCGAAGGCGGCAUCCUGGACCGGCAUUGACGCUGAGGAGCGAAAGCCAGGGGAGCAAACGGG
rnacentral:rRNA from 1 species